GAUCAUGGCUCAGGAUGAACGCUGGCGGCGUGCUUAACACAUGCAAGUCGAACGAAGCACUUUAUUUGAUUUCCUUCGGGACUGAUUAUUUUGUUGACUGAGUGGCGGACGGGUGAGUAACGCGUGGGUAACCUGCCUUGUACAGGGGGAGUAACAGUUGGAAACGGCUGCUAAUACCGCAUAAGCGCACGCGAUCGCAUGAGUGCAGUGUGAAAAACGUAACCGGUCGGGUAGUUAAGAAUGGACCCCGG
rnacentral:rRNA from 1 species